UCGAAAUGAGUAGUUUUAGUGACGGGGUUUCAUUUAUAACGAUGCCAAUAAAUGAUUUAGGUAUUUGUACCCCUCUUGAGUGUAUGUGAUCUUUAAUAAUUGUGUUCAAAAUUGAUGAUAUA